UACGUAGGGUGCAAGCGUUGUCCGGAAUUAUUGGGCGUAAAGAGCUUGUAGGCGGUUUGUCGCGUCUGCUGUGAAAUUUCGGGGCUCAACCCCGAACUUGCAGUGGGUACGGGCAGACUUGAGUUCGGCAGGGGAGACUGGAAUUCCUGGUGUAGCGGUGGAAUGCGCAGAUAUCAGGAGGAACACCGAUGGCGAAGGCAGGUCUCUGGGCCGCAACUGACGCUGAGGAGCGAAAGCAUGGGGAGCGAACAGG
rnacentral:rRNA from 1 species